GUGCGUCCUUACGAGCCACGUGGCAUCUUCCUUUCCCUAAGCAUUGCGUUGAGAGAAAGAGAAUUCAAUCGUCUCAGGCAGCGAUGGCGACCACCAAAUUCAAUCUUCUCUCUUUGAUUUUUGACUGAGUUUCUGUCUGCUCCUUGACUGACUAAGUUUCUCUUUGUUUUUCCGGUGGUUUCGCGGCGGAUCCAGAACUUGAUUUUUAGGUUUCUUCAAAGUGAGGCCUCAGGGUUUCAAGCUCGCCAUCAAGGCUAGACCCAAUAGAGGAAGCGGUGGGGGAGGUGGUGGGUCUGGUGUGGAGAAGAAUCUCUUGAGGAGCGUUGAGGAGACGAACAAAAGCUUCUGCAGGACUAUUUUUAAUGUGGUUUUGCAAAAAGCUGAACUUGUUACCAAGGAGAAGAACAGGGCUUCUGCUGUGGGGAUGAACGCUGAGAUACGUAGGACUAAGGCUCGGUUGUCUGAGGAAGUUCCAAAGUUGCAGAGACUUGCUGUUAAGCGGAGAAGAGGAGUAUGAGAGCUCCUACUCUUGUUCAGACAAAACAUAACAACAAUAGUUGACUGCCAACUAGAAACGAGAGUGUAAGUCUUGUUGAUGUGGAGAGGAGUAGUGGUGGACGGACUUCACGAGUAGCCAUUAUUACAGAUAGAGAGAAAGAUCGUUAUGAUCCUGAUUAUGACCGUCACAGGUACGUGAGUGUUACGCCACCUGUUGUACAAAACUUCAACCCGAUGGCGAGUUUGAAACCCUGAGGCCUCCUACCGUUAACCCAGAUUUGGCUAUUUGAGCAGAAAGAUCUGAGGAUCGAAGGAAGGAUUACUGGUUUUGACGAGUACAUGAACCUAGUGUUGGAUGAAGCUGAAGAAGUGAACCUCAAGAAGAACACCAAGAAACCACUUGGUGAGUUUACUAAGAAACAAAAAAGUCCUACCAAUAAUCUAUAUUUUUAAGAUUGUCCUUAGCAAAAUCUCUUAAAGACAAAGUAAUAAUAAAAUAUCUUAAGGAAUAAAAUUAAGUCUUACCA